rnacentral:rRNA from 2 species
CUUCGGGCGGUGGAGAGUGGCGCACGCGGUGCGUAACACGUGGCUCAUCUACCCUGAAGACGGGGAUAACUCGCGGAAACGCGAGCUAAAACCCGAUAAGCUCACGACGAGUAGACAGUUGUGAGAAAAAACCCAGGUGCUUCAGGAUGAGGCUGCGGUCCAUCAGCUAGUUGGUGAGGUAAAGGCUCACCAAGGCAACGACGGAUAGGGGACCUGAGAGGGUGACCCCCCACACUGGCACUGAGACACGGGCCAGACUUCUACGGGAGGCAGCAGUGAGGAAUAUUGCACAAUGGGCGCAAGCCUGAUGCAGCGACGCCGCGUGGGUGAAGAAGGUCUUCGGGUCGUAAAACCCUUUUCUGUGUGACGAGGAAGGACGGUAGCACAGGAAUAAGUCUCGGCUAACUACGUGCCAGCAGCCGCGGUAAAACGUAGGAGGCGAGCGUUAUCCGGAGUUACUGGGCGUAAAGCGCGUGUAGGCGGUCUGGCAGGUCAGUCGUGAAAGCUCCCAGGCUAAACCGGGAGAGGUCGAUUGAAACCGUUGGGCUAGAGGACAGCAGAGGGGCAUGGAAUUCCGGGUGUAGUGGUGAAAUGCGUAGAUAUCCGGAGGAACACCAGAGGCGAAGGCGAUGCCCUGGGCUGUAACUGACGCUGAGACGCGAAAGCGUGGGGAGCGAACG